ensembl:lncRNA
ACUAAAGAUAUGAUCACAUGCACCUAGCUUUGUGAUGGUUUUACAAGUAGGCCUAUACAUGUGCAAUUGAAUCCAAGCUUCUUAUGGAUAAGUUGAUGUUACGUUGAUGUCUUCGCGUAUUCGCAGAUAGAACGAAACUAAGGAGUUUUCUUUUAAGUCUGCCCAGUUGUCAAGCCAAACCAGCGAGAGAAAUAAGAUGGGCGUAACUCUAAAUGGAUCAUGCACGCAGACUUUGGAACAAUAACUCAUCAAUUCACGACGGGACGUCGUUUAAGCGCGAGCUGCUUGAGUUUCUGCACAUGUCCACGCGCGGGGACCAGCGACAGACUCGAUCAUAGCAGUCCUCGGAUAGUAGCACAAGAUACUUGCCAAGAAUUUGGAUAACAGGCUGUGCACUUGAGCGUCAGAUCACUCAAGCCAAAGUCAAUGGCUGUUUGUCACUAACUGACAUCAGUACCUUUCGCGUUGCUCUUUAUAGUGACGUAGUUGCGAGUUAACGCGAUUCUCGGGCAUAGUUCGUGGUUUUUAAACAAAUGCACUGCUGCAAAGACCUCUGCCUUUACGAGUUUUUGAUAUCUGCUUGUGGAUUAGAUAUGAUUAUGCUGUUAUGGAUCACCUCAGGUUUGGCACUCAAAGAUGACGGGUCAUCAUCGUCCACUAAAAGGAAAAGGAGAUUUUGUAAAUCAGUGAGAAAACACGUAAAUCAACGGCCCUCAGAUCAGGUGAGCGAUAUGGCAUUGUCAUGUGCUUUUAAUAUGAUAUUGGCUUUCAUUUGGCAUGAGGUUGCGUGUUUAAAAGUCAAAUAUGUAACAGGUUCUCUCACCAUUGCUAUUAUCAUUAUUUAUUUCAAGGUAAUGUUUUUGGUAAGACAUUGUGGCUUUCACUUGACAUCAAAACAGGUUUCUUUUCCCCCCAAAAAUGCUGGAUGGCAAACAUAGGAGGGAUUACUAUGGCAACAGUGUUUGCCCUUGCUUAUUGGUGGUAAGGAGUAAAGCAGACGUAUGUCACAUGACUCCAGUCAGAGCCAUAUCCUGCAAAGCAUUGGCUUACGUGUUUAUUUCAAAGCUCAAAUUUAUGUUUAUGUGCUACCCAACUAUUUCUGCUUGGAUUUAGAUGUUUAUUUUAUUUCAUUUUGUAUAUUUGUUUUUUUGUUUUAUUAAUAAAUGGAAAAUAUGAUUUGGUUCAUUGUACAAGGCUCUUAAAGUUGCUCAGGAGAAUAAUAUUAAAGGAUCUAAUUAAAUAUUUCUAUGUGAAUUUGAUCACAGUAGUUUAUUUUAUCACUAUUUUGAACCAUGACAAAUGCAACGAGGAUCUUUACGAUCUCGACAGUCUAACGCUUUACUCAUUCGCGACACUAUGAUCCAAUUUGUUUCCACACUGUUGCAGGACAAGAGAUGGAAAGGCCGUUUGUGUGAUCUAUAUUUGAAUUCUUUUGUUCAGAGCCUUAUCCCUUUAAAAUAUUGCUGGAGUCUCGGCGGCGUGUGUGUAUAUAAGGUGUGCUCAUGUGGAAAGGCUAUGAGGGUGGUUCAGUCCUUCACCUUCCUAAUUCCCUUCUUUCUCUCCUCCACCACCCCCCUCUCCUCCACCUAAAGCCCUUUCUCUAACCCUCUUCAGACUUACACCCUCUCUCUUUCUCUCCCUUCACAAUCUCAAGUCAGAGUUCAAUGGCACUUUUUUCAUUCUGUCCUUUUUUCCAGCCCCACCUCUUCUCGACAAACUCUAGUGGGUUUUGCAAGAUGGGGGGCAGGUACUUCCCUCCCCCAUGUGAACUUUAGCUGCAAUUCUCCAGGCACACAUGCAUUGUGAAACACAGAUUGAAAAAGAAAUGAGCACUUUUUUUUUCUCUUUCUCUCUCCUCUUGCCUUAACACAGAAUUCUCAAACUUACCCACUCGCUCCCAUGCAGUGUAUUCAGUGCGCUUACGCCACCACACGAGAAAGUAGCCUCGUUUUAUGGCACUCUUGUGAAGGCAGUGUGAAGUCAGAAAGCAGUCCAUAGAAGUACUAGAGUUCAUAUUGUGCUGUGCAGGGAAGAUACAGAAUAUAUAGACUAAGGAAGGCUUUUUACAGUUGAAGUGCUUCCUUGAGAUCUUUUACCCUUGACAGACAGAUAACUAGGCUUUUGUAUCUACAUCUCAGUAAAGUGCAACAGUCCGGUUCCAGAAAUGAAAACUCAUUCAUUUUCUCAACAGGGAAAGCAAUUUUUAAUGAUAACUCAUAAACUCUAAAGACAGACCUGCUGUGAACUCUGAGGUUGUGAAUCGAUGUUUCAUGCUUUUGCUGAAGCCAUCUUUUUUUGUAGUAUUUUGACUUAUUUGUAAUAUAAGCUGUUUAAAGGGAUAGUUCACCCCAAAAAUGAACUUGAAAAACGACAUAACCCGUAAUACUGUACAUUUCCCAAAAUUCCACCAAUCAGAGAGAUGCGGUCAGCAAAUAGUGCUGAAAGAGCUUGUUAGCUCCACCCACUCCGAUAAAGCAGAGGUACAAAACCACAGGGUCGCGACCGUGGAAGAGUUGCUAUGGGUUCGCAAGAACUUUCUAGGACAAAUGUGUGUAGAUAUGACAUUGUUAUUUAUUGCUUAUUAAUGAAUGUUUCUAAUUAUUCUGUAUUUUCAUUUGUUGAACGCGAUUGAUAGUGAGUAAAAUUUGACGAUUUCAUGUAAAUGAAAUGUUCAAUUAGUAAAUAAAUGACUGUUCUGCUCUGUCAUAUAUAUAUAUAUAUAGGCUAUAUAUAUAUUAUUAGGGGUUAAACCGAUCACAGGUAAUCGCUGAUAUGUACAGACCAGGCUCCACAUUUCGGCACACGUCAUUCGUAGAUUAAUUUUCCAAUUUACACAUUCAAGUGAUUUUUUUUACCUCAUGAAGAAGAAGUGAAAGAGCACUUGUUUCAUUACCCAUGCACUGUUUUCGGUGUGCAUAGCAUCAGAUACUAAGUUCCUCUUUCACAUCUCUUUGCAUUUGAGAUACAUAUAAAAUUCUAAAAAAAAAAAACUUCUUGGCAUUCUCAUUCUCUGUGCUUUAAAAAAAAAAUGUCAUGCUUAUCUGAAAAUCAACACGGAUAUCCAAUCAAAAAUUAUGGAAUCAAGUCAUUCUCCCUGCUCUCUCAAAAUACUUAAAUAUUUGUAUGUACAUUUGCAUAUUCUGCAAUAAAUGUGAUUUAAUUUUUUUCAUACAAUCAACAACUUAAAUAGUUUUAUAUUUCACCAUUGUUUUUAAUUUAAUGAUGUCAUUCGCAAUGCUUCAUGGGAUUGUAGUUCUUUCUUAAAGUCGUUAAGUACACAGUCCUGUACCUUUGCCUUUUUGUCCGAUUUUCAAAUACUUUUUAUGCUUCAAACUAAAAUUUGUAAUGUUGUGAUUCAUGUCAUAGCUUGGUUAAUGGUUUAUAAUAAAUGUAACAAAUACUUUUUUUUAAAAUCCCUAUGGGAAAAUGAAUACAAAAAUACUUGCAGCACUGAUGAAAAAAUGUAUGGGUGCUAAAGCACUCUAUGAAAUAUACAAGAUCUAGGAUGAUUUUGAGGCAUUAAACAGGGAUACAUACCAGUAGCCAUGUUGCUGUGCUUUUAUAAAAGAAAGACAAAAGCUGUCACUAGACUGGCAACCUUGCAAAAGGUACACCUUUGUACCUUAUUUACAACUAAAUGUUGCAUAUCAGUACUUUAUUAGGAGAUUACACAUAUGCACUGUUUGGCUACUAAUAUUUAUCUGCAAAGUAACUUUAUAUUAGUGCCUUUUGAAAAGUACAGCCCCAGUCACAGCUUUUAUGCCAUCUAUUUUCGAAAGUGUAUGCUUACAUGCUUAUGGUGGAGGGCUAGUGGAAGGACAUCAAGUUGGUCAAGAGAAAGAGAAAGUAAGUGAGUCCUUUUUUCUUCAUCUUUAAGCCAGAAAAACAGUCUAUGACAGUGGCCUAGUUCUAGAUCACGGUCACCCUGAGGAAGAAUUGAAUCGAGGAAUCGGAGACAGAGGAUCAGAGGAGACUUAGCACCCUGUGGCUAUGAACCCCCUCUCUCCAUUCCAGCAAACCACCUUUCAGCCUCAUCCUGGGCUGUUGUUCACAUACCCGGACGAGCCCCCACUUUUUAUAGAAGAAAUCCGUAUCACACACAUGAGGUUCGAUAGUUCAAUGCUAAGCAGACUUUCUCAAAUGAUGCACAUAUGAGAGGGAAGAGGCAGCGUAUAUAAACAAAUUCUCUGUGACACACACGCACAAAAAUCUAUAGAUUCUCUAGAUCUUCUGUCUGUUGGCUUGAACCAUUACCAUUUGUAAAUGCCACAGAAGAUUGCUCUGUUAGUGCAAUGCUUUGAAAAUGUAUCAGGAAUGAUUGAUAUUCAGUUAGAAUGUGUAUGCCCAACACGGAGAAAACCAUUGUCAUCAAAUGUUUGUGUAAACUUGGAAUGGGAAAAGCAGGAAACCCCUGAUUGCUAGUGCUUUAGAUCAAGACAGCUUUCUCACUAAAAUGAUCAUUGUUGCUUAUACUUAUUAUUUUACACACAAAACUUCUGUUUGUGCUACAGACAUGAGUAGUACUUCAGUAUUUUAUUGAGCAGAGACACUACUGUUGCAAAGUUUGCGACUCUUUUAACUCCUAUACCAUAGAAACCACUAAGAAUGUUUAGCAAAUACUAGGAAAGUUGCCUGUCCAGCUCAAACAUUGUGGGAUUUUUAGGUUUACAAUGAGCAAACAAUGCACAUUUACCACAAAUCUAGUUUAUUCUCUCUAGUUUAGUGUUAGUAUCUUACUGGUGAUUAUACUAGUUAGCUUAGAGCAGUACACACUUCCGGUGCGCUGCUCAGCGGCUGCACUGCGUUUCAGUAUACUAUGUUUUCGGUUUGUUUGUUUGUCUAAUGUCAAGUAAGUCCGGGUAGGGACUUGUAGGGGAAAGAUGAAGGCUAAGAAAAACGUA